rnacentral:lncRNA from 1 species
GUUCUGUUGUCCCCUUCCAGUAUGAACAUUCUGUGUUCUGUGUACUAAGGUUCUUCCUGGUGCUGAGAAUUCAUGUUCUGCAGCCACAAGGCACCCCUAAGACCUCUACUCCAACCAGAUCCCAUGGAAGUAACCGCUUUUGUCCAGUGUGUGGGAAACGCAGACUGAAGCAGAAAGACCCAAGGAUUAAGACAACAUGGGAGGGGAAGUGGCCUUGGCAAGUGAGCAUCCAGUAUGGGCAGCACCCCCUGUGUGAGGGCACCCUUAUCGACGUCCAGUGGGUGCUCACGGCAUCCCACUGCUUCCGGAGAACCAAUGACCCUACUGUCUACCAUGUUUUAGUGGGCAGCCAUAAGUUAUAUGAGAAGAGCCCCAAGU